AAACUCAAUAUCAAAUUGGCAGCUCAAGGCAAGCCCAGACUCUAUACAAAGAAAGCUCUUAUUUUCUGCCCAUCUAGGUAGUUGGUAACAGUGCCCUCAAUUGGUCUUUGAGUUCCCCUUCUGUCUGUCUUCCUGCUGACUUAAGACCAUGUUUCUUGCCCAUUUGUAGCUUUCCAUAUAGGGGUGAGUGUGGGGAUGCAUGUUAUCUCCCUUGUACCUACACACACAAACACACGCGCACACAUACAUAUAUUUAUUUCUGCUUGUGUGUGUGUGUGUGUGUUCACUGCUGCUGCUGCUGCUGCUUAAAUGUUGAAGAAAGUAACAAACCCUCCUCUUGGCAAACUUCAUCUUUGAAAUCUAGUCUAGCACAAAUUCAUGAUAUCGUUGUCUACUUUAUUCAAAUUUCAACUCUCCAUCCUUUCUUCCAUCACCUUCUCUGGAGAAUUAUUGCCAGUUCAUCUAGUUUUGCACGGCUUUUAUAUCAUUCCUGCUUGUCUUUGUUAUCUACUUUUUCUAUCUCAAUCUGUAUCUCAUCUUUGUCUUAAAGCAGGGUCAAACAUUUUCUUUAGAGGAUCAGAUAGUAAAUAUUGUUGGCUUUGUGGGACAGCUGGUCUCUGUUUCAGGUGCUUAACUCUGCCAUUGAAGUGUGAGAGCAGCCUUUGAUGGUAGCAAGAAGCAGGACAAGGCUACACUUCCCCACAUCUAAUAGUAUUUUAAAUUCCUCUUCAUCAUGCUGAGAGCCUCCUAUCUGCCUCUUCUUCCAUGGUCGUAGCCUUCCACUCCUAAAGUUAAAAGUGCCAGCUGUGCCUUGAUUUCCUUUAUAUCAUGUGUCAUUCAUUUGUCAGUACAUAUCAGUUUUCUUUUGAUUUCAUUGUAUGUAGGUGAAUUAGCAGAAGACCCAGUGGGGCUUGAUGAGUCUUGUCUUCUAACACACCUCAGAUGUAUGUUCCAGGACAUUGAGUCCUGGUUUACUUGAUUUCCAUCCUAUGUUGAGAAGUUACUACUCACCACAUUCCACUGUGCACAUGGCCUUCCCUGUUAUUCUAGAUAACAUUAAUUGAGCAGGUCCUGUGAGUCAGAAACUGUUUCAGGUACUUCACCUGCAUUAGAUUGUCUAGUCCUCCACCAUAGGGUGCACCAUAAGGUGCUACAAUGUUACCACAGUUUCACAGAGGAGAAAACCCACAUUAGGUGAUUAAGCGCUGCUUGUGCUUGCCAGUAAGUAGCUGAGCUAGAUUGAAACCUCACUCUAUUUGAUUUCAAAACUCUUGUGUUAAAAAUACACACUGUUGCUGGGCGCAGUGGUUCAUGCCUAUAAUCCCAGCAUAUUGGGAGGCCGAGGCGGGCAGAUCACCUGAGGUUGGGAGUUUGAGACCAGCCUGACCAACAUGGAGAAACCCCAUCUCUACUAAAACGUAGAAAAUUAGCUGGACCUGGUGGCACAUGCUUGUAAUCCCAGCUACUCAGGAGGCUGAGGCAGGAGAAUCGCUUGAACCUAGGAGGCGGAGGUUGAAGUGAGCUGAAUUCAUGCCAUUCCACUCCAGCCUGGGCAACGAGAGCGAAACUCUGCCUCAAAAAACAAAUAAAAAAAAAUUAAAAAAAAAA
rnacentral:lncRNA from 1 species